rnacentral:lncRNA from 1 species
UAAAGUUUUUUUAUUAGCAAAUAAAUGGAGAGAAAUGAUUCGGUACUUUUUUUAAAAAAAAAUAAAAAAGAUCUUAACCGUUGAUUAAUAGAGGGUAAAAAUGUAACUUCAAUACUUAGCAGGUAAAAAAAUUAUUUUAUUCAAGGUUAGUUUGGUAAUUAAAUAAUACAAUAUUUAAAGAAACUUUUAAUGGAGGUCCUAAAUUUAUGCAUUAAUUAGUACUAAUUUAGGAAAUUAAUUGAUUAACCAAAUUUAUGAAACUAUUAGGCAUUAAAUGUUUUAGUGUUUCUCAAAUUAUGCAUUAAUUUAAAUUAAAGAAAAUUUAGAAAUUGUUUUAUUUCUAAAUACGAUGAAUUUAAAUUUUAAAAAUUAAAUACUUAAAAUUUAAAAGUAAAAUUUAAAUUAGAGGAAUUUCAUAUUACUAUUUAAAAACUAAAUUUCUACCAAGAUUUAAAAUACAGUUUAUUCGCACCAGUUUAAAACGUAAUGCAUAAAAAACUUAGAGAGUAAGAUUUCUACAACUAGAUUUCUCUAGAGCAAUUUUAUAUUACUAUUUAAAUUUUAAAUUCAAUAAUUUAAAAACUAGAUUGAACCGAUUGAUUUGACUGAUCAGACUUUGACUUAUUCUAUCAAGAAUUUGAUUUUAAGCCAUUGAACCGAAUAACAUUAAGAACAAUUUGGAACCGGUAAAGAUAAUAAAUAUUUUUAACAGAAUAAUAAUUUAACUGUUAGAGCUAAUAAAUAUUUUAAAUAUAAUUUUAAACAUAUAAAUUAAAAAGAUUAGAAUUAUUGGUGAGAAAAAAAAUAGUUAGGAAUUUGAAUUCGAAUUUGACUAACAAUCACAAAACUUAUUUUCGAACUCGACGGAUUUCAAAAAUCCAUAUCCAAAUUCAAAACUGACCAAUUUUUCGAAACCCAAAAUCAAACCUAAAUCAGAAGACUAGAAUUCAAACAAUUAUUUCUGUUUACCAUAUUUCAAAGUAUUUAUAUGAAACUUAAAUUUUUAAAAUAUAAAU